CCGCCUCUAGCUCAAUUGGUAGAGCAGCUCCCUCUUAAGGAGACGGUUCCGAGUUCGAGUCUCGGGGGGCGGA
rfam:Candidatus Sungbacteria bacterium RIFCSPLOWO2_01_FTLL_47_10 rifcsplowo2_01_scaffold_5854, whole genome shotgun sequence.